AGACACAUUUGGAGAGGGAACC
rnacentral:miRNA from 1 species